rnacentral:piRNA from 1 species
GUGACAUCUCCAGAUUGGGAGAAUGAGA